GAGGAGAGAGUCCAUUUCUGGAUAGUUAAUGAGAAGUAGUAAGUAGAGUGUAAAUUACAGUGAACCUUUAAAGUAAAGACAAAUAAUUUUUUUUAAUGCAGUAGAGAGGCUGGAGCCAGCAAGGGGAAAAAUAGAGAGGCAAAUGGCAUGGAAAAUAAUCCUGGCAGGAAGCUUCAUAAUGAGCAAAUAGGGAAAGAUAAUUCAUAUCAAGCCCCGAGCUCAGCAAUAGCUAAGACUGGAGGGUGCAAGCGUAAAACUCAUCAUUUUCCUCUCUUUGGUUUAGAGAUCUCAAAAGGAUAACUACCAAUUUUAAGAGCAGCUGGAGGAGCAAAUGCUUCUUUCUGUUCAUUCUGAAGAUGAAAACCAGGUGGUAUGGAGUGUGCUAAGGCAACCACCGGCAGUGCCUGGAAGAGCAACAUAGCAUCGAUGCGAGAAGGUCAGAUGUUGGGGCAAAAUUUCCUGGGGCUUCACAUCCACGAGAUGGUGCCACAGCAUCACUGGAUGGGCAGAGGAAACAGCUUUGAGGUGAAGUGGAAUGCAAGACAUUCAUAAAUUAGCAGUGAAGUUCUACCUGGAUUUACACCCAGAGUAUCCAAGGCUUCCGUAUAAUUCAUAUGAGUAAGUGGCUAGGCACAAGCUUACACUUAAAUUGGAAUUUC
rnacentral:lncRNA from 1 species